rnacentral:rRNA from 1 species
ACAUGCAAGUCGAGGGGCAGCAUAAUGGAUAGCAAUAUCUAUGGUGGCGACCGGCGCACGGGUGCGUAACGCGUAUGCAACCUACCUUUAACAGGGGGAUAACACUGAGAAAUUGGUACUAAUACCCCAUAAUAUCAUAGAAGGCAUCUUUUAUGGUUGAAAAUUCCGAUGGUUAGAGAUGGGCAUGCGUUGUAUUAGCUAGUUGGUGGGGUAACGGCUCACCAAGGCGACGAUACAUAGGGGGACUGAGAGGUUAACCCCCCACACUGGUACUGAGACACGGACCAGACUCCUACGGGAGGCAGCAGUGAGGAAUAUUGGUCAAUGGACGCAAGUCUGAACCAGCCAUGCCGCGUGCAGGAUGACGGCUCUAUGAGUUGUAAACUGCUUUUGUACGAGGGUAAACUCACCUACGUGUAGGUGACUGAAAGUAUCGUAUUAAUAAGGAUCGGCUAACUCCGUGCCAGCAGCCGCGGUAAUACGGAGGAUUCAAGCGUUAUCCGGAUUUAUUGGGUUUAAAGGGUGCGUAGGCGGUUAGAUAAGUUAGAGGUGA